GACUUGAUUUUUGGUUAACAUUUGAGCUUAAUAUAACCAUUUAUUUACCAUGUCUGUGAUAGCCGGUGGAGUUAUUGCACCUGUUUUAGUAAUUAUGUGUUUGUUAUGGGUCGGCGUAGAAGAAGUUGGCUUUCAACGUUCAUGGACAAUGCUCGAUCUUGCAGCCCUACCUGUUGCGAUUGGUCUUUACGGAUACUUUUAUUCUUGACAUGUUGUGUUCCCAAACAUUUAUACAUCAAUGUCAAAUCCAAACUAAUUUUCUACAAUACUAGUAGCACAAUUAACCCAAGAUCGUCUUUAGUCAUGGUUUAAAAUUCCGAACGAAUGUGUUAUAAAUGAUUAUCCUUUUGAAUCUAUCUAAUACAAUGUAUGAUUAUUUUUAUUGUAGCUUCGGAGUUUGUAGCUCACUCUAUGUUGGAGGUGCUGUUAUGGGAUACAUAAUGUUUGGAGAAGAUACUCUCAAUUCACUCUUAACCUGCCCAAGAUUUGGAUGCAACCAAGAUUGUUGCCUGGACUACGGUGGUUAAUCCAUUUACCAAAUAUCCUUUAUACGUGUCGUGUGAAUACAUAUAUGCAUGAAUAUAGAAUGAAAAAAAAAUCAUCAUGAGAAGUUUCAUUUCUUUUUCAAUCUCUUCAUAGAAUAUUCUUAUAUACAGAUGAUGAAUUAUGAUUUUUCUUAACUAGCAUCGAUACGUAUGCAUUGAUUAUGUCUUCCUUGGCAAUGAGUCUUGAAGAGUUAAUACCAUUAAACCAUUCAAAGGCUUACCUAUUUUCCGUUUUCAUCAGAACAUGCCUUGUAUUUUCUACCCUUGUUAUUGUUCUCUAAGUUCCCUUUUUCGGUAAGUCUUAUCAAUCAUUACAACUGUAAUAUGACAUAGUCGUACUAUGUUAUAGAUAAGACGCAUCUGAUGAUUUUUUGCAGGUUUGGUAAUAUCGUUGAUUGGAUCAAUACUUACAAUACUUGUAACUUUGAUUCUACCAUGUGUUUUUUACCUAAGAAACUUGCGAGGCAAAGUCACGCGAUUACA